AGGGAGUGACAUAGCCAGCCCCGACCAUAAGCUGCUUUGCAUCUAAUAAAGAAAAGGGAAAUCAAAGUGGAAGACAACUUGAUGUUGGUGAAAGCUUUCCUUGGCUUCAACAUAUGUCGGCUUCAUAUGGUUACUACUAACGAAAAAUUUAACCCCUCGGAUCAAAUCCCGGCCACCGCAGCCGCAUUUCGAUGGGGGUACAAUGCAAAAAUGCUCAUGUACUGUGCAUUGGGUGCACGUUAAGGAACCCCAGGUGGUGUAAUUUAAUUCUCAGUCCCCUAAUAUGGGAUGCCUCAUAAUCAUAUCGUGGUUUUGGCACGGUAAAACCCUACAAUUAAAAAAAAAUUUUGGAACCCCUCGGUUCCCUUGAUUUUUCUUGUUCAUGUUUGAUGUUAGGUUUCUUGGUACAAAUAUGUCACAGACAUGUCACUGCCCCGUCUGACACAGACUAGGCAGCCCUCCAAUGACUGCACAUUACAUGGAGUGUAGUAUUUUUCAGAAAAGUUUGCAUAAAGCAUGGAAAAUAAGGAAUGUAAAUUGUUUUGGAAAUGACAGAUGCAGUACACAAGCGCUCACCUAUGCCGCACUAGUAGCCUAGUAUCACCAUAAAGAGUACCUUCUGAAGAAUGUAAAAUACAGUCAAACUUCAAUAAAACAAAUAUGGAUAUAACGAAUUAUCGAAUAUAACAAAGUGAAUCUAAAAUAUGGCUGAUUGGUAUGAGCAUGAAAUAUAUGCUUCUAACGAUAUCAGAUAUAACGAAGCUAUUUUCGCAUCAGAUACAACUUUAUUAUACCGAGGUUAAGACUGUACAUACCCUCUAGCUAGCAUUAUGACAAUGAAAUUAAAUGAAAUUAUCACCUUGAUCUGGUUCAACAUUGGUCUAAUUACAACCCCGCAGCCAUUACUGUACACAUUCAGUAAGGCUUGAUGUUGCCUGGGUGCCUCAGCCAUUCAUAGUUAGUCAUUUCAAGUGCCACAUAGGAUAUGAAGUACAGAGAGACCACAAAUGUCCACUCACAACAAUUGUUUUGUACAUGAUUCUGGAAAUUCGAUAAAAGUACAUUCUACUUAUCACAAUUACGUAGGUUGCAGUUAACAUUGCUGUCCUGAAACAAAGGCAGAGCGUGUGUCUGGUGUCGAAAGCAACCAGCACAGAAGUGCUGCAAUCUUAACAACAUUGAAAAUAGUCGUAACAAAAUGCCAUCUUUCAACUAACCUUUAUGAAUCAUGCACAUGUGCCUCUUGAUAGUGUCAUAUUUUAGGCUUGUUGGUUGGACACCUUGAAUUUAGAACAAUGCAACAUGUGACAGAAGAGUAUGCACACAGCAUUGACUUCCAACCUCCUUUAUUCCGCAAGCGCAGACAUAAAUAAAUAGACAGUAAAAAAAAGAGCAUGAAAAAAAAAAAAAACUGAUAGUGUACUCAUGUCAUGUCACUACCACCAUCAACACCCGGUUACUGUUACUCUUUACUGGACAGUGCCAAUGACGUCAUGUGACUUCCAAAGUGACUGGCCUCACUUGCUUCUAGUAUUUCUCUAGUCAACUGAUUGCAAUACCUCUGAAGAUAUUGUGCCUAAAAACUGAGCCACAGUCACACUACUGACAAUGACUUACCCAUCGUGUACCUUUUUUCCUUCUAAAGUUGCCUUCAUGCUCAUUCAGCCUGUCAUUAACGCACCUUCCAGUUUGUCCAAUGCAAUGUUCACUGCCAAUAUAGUGGAAUAUUGUAUACAAUAAACCUCCGUUACUUCACUUUUUUUGCUUAAUUCGAUUCCGACUGAAGGUUUGGGAGCUGGCGCCCAUGCAUUUCUAUGGGUCCAAACUCUUUAUUUCGAUCAUAAAAUUGGCCUUCGCCGGAUAAUUCGAACAUACAGCGUGCAUGCGCCGGAACCCUAUGGUGAUGCCAAUAGCGACUCUAUACUGGCAGCGUCUGUUUCGGCAGAGAUUAGGGGACAGUGAAUGCGUUGAACAGACAUCGCCUUCCGUCGAAAGCGCCUAUUUUCGGCCUGCCCUAGGAAGAUUUUCAAGCAAUAAUGGUAGCUCGUAAUGUCUGCUUACGGUAUUUUAGCGGUUUCUAACCCCCCCCCCCCCGUUUUUUUUAAAGAAAACUCAACGGGAAACCGCAUUCGCAGAGUUUGUAUGCUUUUUCUCAUAACACAGAGGUAUUGCGGCGAAGCUGACCUUAGGAAACCGGCCUCCACUGUGCAACAUAUAUUACAACCUUGCCCACUUUUCUAAAAAAAUCAGGUGCGUAUUAGAUUUCUACUUUGUUUAGGAGAUUUAAUGUUAACUUUAUGUUAGUUUUCUACUUUGGGAACAUAGAAAGCGGCCGCGCCUUUCUUUGGUUGGGGGCAUAUUAGAAUUGGGCAAAUACUGCCUCUGACGUCUUUUCCCACAUCUUGUUUAAUUCGAUCCAUUUCGUCUGCCACAUCAGGGUACAAUUAACGGAAGUUGACUGUAAUACCCUUACUGUGCAUGCCACUUUAGGGUUGCAAUGAAUACAAUGCUUACUUCGUUUGCUAAGCUCUUUCAGUCUGUUUAUGUACAUCUGCUCUUUCGGAAUAAAGAAGUGUUCGAAGUCAGC
rnacentral:lncRNA from 1 species